rnacentral:misc_RNA from 1 species
GAUGAAGAACGCAGCGAAAUGCGAUAAUUAAUGUGAAUUGCAGAAUUCAGUGAAUCAUCGAAUCUUUGAACGCACAUUGCGCCCCUUGGUAUUCCAUGGGGCAUGCCUGUUCGAGCGUCAUUUGUACCUUCAAGCUUUGCUUGGUGUUGGGUGUUUGUCUCGCCUUUGCGUGUAGACUCGCCUUAAAAUAAUUGGCAGCCGGCGUAUUGAUUUCGGAGCGCAGUACAUCUCGCGCUUUGCACUCAUAACGACAGCGUCCAAAAGUACAUUUUACACUCUUGACCUCGGAUCAGGUAGGGAUACCCGCUGAACUUAAGCAUAUCAAUAAGCGGAGGA